rnacentral:rRNA from 1 species
UUAAAGUAGUAAGGGCGCAGGGUGGAUGCCUUGGCACUAAGAGCCGAUGAAAGACGUGAUAAGCUGCGAAAAGCUUCGGGGAGGAGCACAUAUCCAUUGAUCCGGAGAUAUCUGAAUGGGGAAACCCGGCAGAGGAAACCUCUGUCAGCAUGUAGUGAAUCCAUAGCUGCAUGUGGGGAACCCGGGGAACUGAAACAUCUAAGUACCCGGAGGAAGAGAAAGAAAAUUUAUCGAUUUCCAGAGUAGCGGCGAGCGAAAUGGAAGGAGCCCAAACCGUGGUGCGUGCAUCACGGGGUUCGGACUGCGACAUGAGAGACGUAAGAUAGGAGAACGGACUGGGAAGUCCGGCCGGAGAGAGUGAAAGCCUCGUAUCCGAAAUCCCAAGUCAUCUAGCAGGAUCCAGAGUAGGACGAGACACGAGAAACCUUGUCUGAAGGAGCGGGGACCACCCCGUAAGGCUAAAUACUUCUUAGUGACCGAUAGCGCAUAGUACUGUGAAGGAAAGGUGAAAAGUACCCCGGGAGGGGAGUGAAAGAGAACCUGAAACCCUGUGUCUACAAGCUGUGGGAGCACCUUAUGCGUGCAACCGCGUACUUUUUGUAGAACGGUCCGGCGAGUUACGCUUACUGGCAAGGUUAAGCACUUCAGGUGCGGAGCCGUAGGGAAACCAAGUCUUAAGAGGGCCAGAGUCAGUAGGAGUAGACCCGAAACCGGGUGAUCUAUCCAUGUCCAGGUUGAAGCUGCCGUAAGAGGUAGUGGAGGACCGAACCCACAUCCGUUGAAAAGGGUGGGGAUGAGGUGUGGAUAGCGGAGAAAUUCCAAUCGAACCCGGAGAUAGCUGGUUCUCCUCGAAAUAGCUUUAGGGCUAGCCUCAUGAGAGUCUUAUGGAGGUAGAGCACUGAAUUUCCUAGGGGGCGUCAAAGCCUACCGAAGAAUAUCAAACUGCGAAUGGCGGACAGAUGAUGCUGGGGAGUCAGACUGCACGAGAUAAGUUGGGUGGUCAAAAGGGAAAGAGCCCAGACCUACAGCUAAGGUCCCAAAGUGCGUGUUAAGUGGAAAAGGAUGUGGGGAUUCUAAGACAACUAGGACGUUGGCUUAGAAGCAGCCAUUCAUUGAAAGAGUGCGUAAUAGCUCACUAGUCGAGAGUCCCUGCGCCGAAAAUGUCCGGGGCUGAAACACGACACCGAAGCUUAGGAAUGUGUAAACAUUGGUAGAGGAGCAUUGCUAGCGGGAUGAAGCCAUACCGAAAGGAGUGGUGGACUGCUAGGAAGAGAGAAUGCCGGAAUGAGUAGCGAGAUGAAGGUGAGAAUCCUUCAGGCCGAAUAUCUAAGGUUUCCAGAGUAAAGCUGAUCUGCUCUGGGUAAGUCGGGACCUAAGGCGAGGUCGAAAGACGUAGUCGAUGGAUAACAGGUUGAAAUUCCUGUACCGCAUAUAAACAGAACUGUGGGGACACAGACAGGGAAUGGAAUCCGGGGAUGGAGAACCCGGAGCAAGCGAGGUAGGAGUAUCAUUGGCAAAACCGUGAUACUGAUCUGAAGACGUGAUGCGUACCGAACAUAAGUAGGGAAGUCCAGGCCCCUGGCUGUCAAGAAAAGCCGCUAUUGUUUUAUAUGUGCCCGUACCGCAAACCGACACAGGUGGAUGAGGAGAGAAUCCUAAGGCCGACGGGAGAAGUAUUGUUAAGGAACUCGGCAAAAUGACUCCGUAACUUCGGGAGAAGGAGUGCCAUGAGAGUGGCCGCAGAGAAAUGGCCCAAGCAACUGUUUAGCAAAAACACAGGUCUAUGCAAAACCGCAAGGUGAAGUAUAUGGGCUGACGCCUGCCCGGUGCUGGAAGGUUAAGGGGAGAGGUUAGCGCAAGCGAAGCUUUGAACUUAAGCCCCAGUAAACGGCGGCCGUAACUAUAACGGUCCUAAGGUAGCGAAAUUCCUUGUCGGG